rnacentral:rRNA from 1 species
CUAAACUCUGUUUUUAGUGGAACUUCUGAGUAUAAAAAACAAAUAAAUCAAAACUUUCAACAACGGAUCUCUUGGUUCUGGCAUCGAUGAAGAACGCAGCAAAAUGCGAUAAGUAAUGUGAAUUGCAGAAUUCAGUGAAUCAUCGAAUCUUUGAACGCACAUUGCGCCCGCCAGUAUUCUGGCGGGCAU